UUGUAAUGCUGGCAAUUAAAUGUUGAAAGCAGCUCCCCCCUCGGACAGUUGGGACAAUAGCUGCUUAAUCAGAUACAAACAUCUAAUGUUUCAUUCUCAACUGGCCGGAGUGAUGUUGAGCGGUCAUAUUUAUUUGGAAGCGCUUAUUUUCCCCGCGCAAUGACUUAAAUGAUGUCCCCUUGCAGCCCUUUCCAAAACUGCCUAUUUGCUGCCGAGUGCGACUUGUUGCAUGUCCCAGUGUCAUAUUAUACCUUCCACCUAUUUGUAUAUAAAGUUAUUUGCCUUUAUGUGUUGACCUCCCUUUCCAUACGCCACCCCGCCCCCUCCCCAAACAAAUCAAGCCCUUUAUUUUCUAUCUCCUCUGACCCUUCCGCACCAGCAUUAGAGCGGACUCCACCGUACCCCUUUGCUCGGUUCUUGACGAUUACUUUGUGGGUUCACAUCGGGAUUAUCGUUUCCCAGCGCCAAAUGUAUAUUGAACUGUAUUCCCUGCAUAGUUCUCCUUCCCCAAUGACCCCAAGCGAACUCAGCGUUGACAAGCUGUCCACUUGUCCAGAAAUUCCUUUGCAGAGGGGUUUUAAAGUUAUACGUCCCAGAAGGUUGUUUCAAAACUCCCUCAGUUUCGGCUACCGUGGAACCUCUUGAAAUAAUCCCUCUACGCCACCUCCCUGCGCACUGAAACCCGUUGUCUCACUGUGUUUUUUAAUGUUAUACAAUGUUUAGAACUCAUCAUCCUUGAAAUCAAAACAAAACUUCUCUGUUAAAAAAAAACAUAAUUACAUAUGCAUCAAUCGUUUCCUGGAUUUGCCUGUGUAGGCGGGGCGGGUGUUUAUAUUUCUCAAUUGUUUACCCCAGCCGGCUCUUUCACCUCCCCCCCUUCCCCAAAGUCUCCAUCUACUUGCCCUGACUUGCCCCCUACAGGACCAAGCUGGGUUCUAUAUAUAUGUAUCCACACACGUACUGUAUGUGUGUGUGUGGUGAGUGCGUGUGUUUAUGGGUGCCUCAUUGGGCGGAGAUCUGGGGGAGUGAGGGGUGGGGGGGUCAGAGAGAGAGAGAGAGAGAUCGGGAGGGAGGGAGGAGGAGAGUCGGCUCAUUGGAGCAUUGCUGAGUACCGGGGCCAUCAGUGGCACAGUCGCGCACACACUCUCCGCACCCACUGGAAACUGAUCUCAAGAAUCUGCGAGGGUUCCGCCACCUUCAAAACAAAGGCGAGCGACUAAAGUCGAGAGAGCGCAGCAGCCGCCCGUCCAGCCCGUGGCCGUGUUGCUGCUGCGAGCCGCCUCGCGCUCUGCCCAUGUGACACGACGCCGCACUGUAAACAAAACAAUACAAGGACGCCGACGUCACCGGGCGCAUUAUCCAAUCGUCGCCAGCCUCUGAGACGCGACCGCGGCUGAUUGGUUGGCGCCGAGCCUUGCCGGCUCGGGCUGCAUUCCAUAGCCCGUCCUUCAAACCCCUCGCUCGGGUGGGGAGGGGAAAGCUGCUGCAGCGUGCGCUGUCAAACCGUGCGCGUAAUACUCCUAAACUAUG